UCUGCCGAGGGAAGAGGAAAGGAAAGGAAGGAGCGUCAACAAUCUGUGUGCGCACUUGCAAGAGUCAGGGUCACUCAGCGGAGCUAUCAGUGACCUACGGGGACCAGGGACUCUUCCUCGGAGGGCAAUCCAGGGACUCUUCCUCGGAGGGCAAUCCGGGGCUCUUAAUUUAGGGAGCAAGUUUACUAAACCCUUCGACGCCAGCCCGUCUGGACCUCCCACUGACAGCACCGGGCCGAUUUGGGAAUUAGUACUUAAUAUUAAAUCCCAACCCAAGUGGUUUAACACCAUCUGUUUUACAUUAAACCAAAAACUAAUUCCCAGUGCUGUUUAUUAAUCAGGGCUGCUUUCGAGAGGAGGUUGGGUUGUGGAGAAAUAAGGUUAAAGACAGAAAGUUUACGUUUAUGCAUCCAAAUGUUUGGUGCUCCCACUCUGUCACAGCUCACAGAUGCGUUUCUACGAUCCAUUACAAAUUCCGAACGGUAACGAAGGUUAACCGCAAAGGCGGUUUAAGGGUUUGCUUUAGAUUCUCUGGCAUCAAGUGGAGCUUCAGACCAUGUCUCUCGCCUGUUCCAGGGCUGGAGAGACGGCUCAUGAAGAGCACUUUUCCACGGGCUCCAGGCACACAUGUGGUGCACAGACACUCGUGCACGCCAGGCACUCAACAGAAUGUUUGUUGCGCAUAACAAGUACACAGAACCUGCAGCUAAAAACAAGCAAGAAACGCUUCUCCCACCAAGGAAUUCUAAACAGUCGGAUGAUGAAGGCAGUGGACCCAAACAAUCACUUCGUUGAAAUGGCGGCAUCCACGGCCUCUGGGAAUAAAACUCUAAUUUAGCAGCACGUAUAAAGAAGGCCAGUGCCGAGAGGAAAGUCACGUUUACUUCAGUGUCCACGGGGACAUGAUAAGUGCCAGAAAAAACAAAAAAACAGAAACCAUAUUUUCAUGACCAAGCAUCUGUGAUAAACAUCCAAAAGUCUAAGGUGCCUUUCGUCUCGGCAGGGAGGAGGCAGCAGAGACAAGUGACUGAAUCUCUGGGAGUUCCAGGACAGCUAGGGGUCUGUGGUGAGACCCUGUCUUAAAGAUGAUAAAAAUGAAAAACAAGCAUUUAAAACAAAAGUUAAAAUUAUUUCUGGGAUUUUAACUCUAAUGCAGGUUUUCUUCAUUAAAAGAAUCACAAACAACAGAAUGAAAACCGAGCGAGAUCACACAGAGCAUAUCUGCACCCAGGACACUGGCGCCUCAGCUGUGGUGGACCUUGUUUGUGUGUUCCCUACACACAGAGCUCUGACAUCCAGAAACGGUGACUCGUUAAAACGUUACCGCUUAUAAACUUUCCUCACGUAAUUUGUUUAUGUUUCGAUAAUUCGUUAAAUCUUCUAUCUUUCUCUAUGAAAUUAUUACUCCUAUUUAGAUCUCGAGAGUCUUCUAUGUAUUCCUCAGUUUUCAUUAAUAGAUAGGAUUUGAUGAACUGACCAGGUAGACAGACAGUGUGCACACGUUUGAACCCAGGGCCUCACAAUGACAUAGAGGAGAUGGCCUGAGGACUGAGAACCACAGAAGGAUGAAGAACUAUAGAAAAGGCUUCGUAACAGAAGGGAUAGCAAGUGUGAAAGUCCUCGGCUGGGGUCAAGCAUGGCGUCUUGUGAGGUGAGGUGGCUCCUAUGAGCUGGGCCACAGGAGGUGGGGACAGAGCGGAGGGGCCUUGCGGGUUCUGUGAACUUACUUGGGAAGCAGGGGAAGGACUGUGUGGAGGGAAAUGCCAUGAUCUAAAGUGCACUCUGGGAAGAUCGUACUUGCUGCUCUGUAAAUGCAAAGGCUGAAGAGGAGCAGCUAACAGAUGGAAUAUUCCUCUUUAAAGCACACUUUCCUCAUCUCUCCCCAGAGCGCCUGAACGCUGGCUCGUUCUUCAUGGGCCACCUCUAAAGCACCCACACUGGUCUCCUGCCUUCUACAGUCAUGUUUCAUCAUUCAUCCAGAUUGGUCUUGUGUACCAAAUGCUGGCCUCAGAAUGGCUGUUAGUACAGGCUGGCCUUCAGGUCCUCAUCCUUCUGCCCCCACCUUCUAAGCACAGGGGUUUUAAGCACCCAUCACCAGCUAGUAGGGCCCCUCCUCUACCGAUCUUCCCUACAAAAACUCAAAUCCUCUGGGUUGGGCGAUCACUUUGGUGGUCAACACAGCUAGGAGGAACCCAGCUCCAGAGACCUCCAAACACGUGUCGGAAACUACUGAAAGGUCCUUAGCCAGUGAGCUGCAGGCGUCUGGGUAGUGGAGAUUUGGACAAAGGGCUAUGGGUGUCCCUGGCCCCGAGUCUCCGCUGUUAGGCUUUGAGAUCUAGGAGAACAAACCUCACUUGUUAGCUAUUGUCUCUUCAAGGCCAGAACCCAGGCCUUCAGCCAUCUCAGGGCUUUAGGAGAACCAUCUGGAAUUUCUCUACUAUUCACCAGCAUUGUAUACCACCUGCUGUGACUUAACUGCAUUUGCCUCAGUGAAAACCCCACUAACUCAAGGAGCUUUAUGUAAGGAUUUUAGACUAAACUAAAAGAAAACAUUCCUUCUGACAUGAAUUUAAAACUGUAAUAUUUAUAGUUUUAUAUAUAUACAUAUACAUAUAUAUGUAUAUAUAUAUGGUGGCAAAACUUCAAGACUACAAAUUACUCCAAGGAUGUCUUUUCAGGACAAGACAAACUGAACCGCUGCUUUGAUACUGAAUAGCUUUCCUCAUUUAAGGUCAAGUUCUAAAGAUGAAGGGAACCAAAGCCAAAAUUCUACUUACCUUAAAAGUCCCAAGCUCCAGGUGGACCACAAUGCUGACAAGAACUUGCCUUGGAAAUAGCUUGCUACUUGGAAGUUACUUGCCACUGAGUAACCACUGAGGAUAAACUUUCAGACACUACUGGGCUGCCUUACUGCUGGGCAUCGCCCUUUGAAAUAAACAAAUCUCCUUGAGUCUUGCUAGACCUCAAGCUGAAACCUUUCCAGAGAGGGUACAGGCCAGCGAAUCUGACUUUUCUUUACCCACUGGCUCUCUUACUCAGGCUGCUGAGGCAGGAUUUUAUUGCUAAUGACAGAAAUCCUUUUGAAGAAUGUGUCUUGGAAAGGUUACUGUAUCGCCUUUCAGUGAUACUCGGAGAACAGAGGGAAAGAAUAAAACAGUCGGACAGACAGCAUGGAAAAGCAGGGGAAGUAAUCUGAGAAGAAAGACCUGACCACUGUUACUGUCAGCAGACGACUGCACACGCCCUAAGGAGGGUCCUAGGAGCGACCUGUGCAGUGCUAUACCUCUGUCACAGUGGGACACUGGAUCAAACAACUCACAGGGUGUAGUGAAGUAAUACAGGAGGGCUAGUCGCCACCUUCACACUUUAUGGUGUGAUUAAGUCAGAGGUAAGAUGCAUUAAUAAAGGAAAUUUCCUUGGAGACUUUAAAAGUUCUUACCCACAGUACUAAACAGCCUCUUUACCCGUGUCGAAAGCUUUUUUUGCCAGGUUUCUAAUGGAGACCUACCAAGAGCCACAUUCAUCUAGAUGAAGUGAUUAUAAAAUUCACCUUUAUCAGUGUUUAACCCAUGUGGCCCUCCUAAGAUAUAUUCUAAUUUUCUUUUGGUUUUAUUUUAUUUUCGUGUUGGAGCGUUGUGCCUGCAUGUGUGUAUACGCAACCAUGGGUGUACCUGGUUCCCUGGGAGGUCGGCAGAAGGCUUCAGGUCCCCUGAACUUGGGGUUACUGGUGACGGGCACUGCCAUGUGGAUGCCGGGGGCUGGACCUGGACUAUCGGGAAGAGCAGGCACUGCUGGCUGCUGAGUCAUGGCUCUCACCUCGCUUGCUCUUGAGACAGGACCCUGCUUCGCAAUAGGCCAGGUUGGUCUUGACCGUAUUACGUAGUCCAGGUUAACCUUGAACUCAAACUCCUCUUAUGUCUCGGGUCCCCAAAGGUGGGAAUUUUCCGUGUGGGACGCCAUGCCUGGUACUCUGUGCUCUAGGAUUUUAUUCUGUUUUAUUCCAUUGCAUUGCUGGGCCUUGAGGAUGCUCUGAUCUGUGAUAGCAUAUUGGACCUCCUGCUGUUGUCUAAGGAUACAGUGCCCACUCACGGUCCUGCAGUCUUCCAAGACUCUCUUCAAAGGACAAUUGUGGGCUUCCAAAACAAUCUUAGUGCCCGCUGCUUCUCCAUUACCAUAGCCAACACGUUCUCACCCACAAAACUCGAGCUCCUUAGGGACACGCAUGACCUUAAACAUUCUCCUAUUUUCUAUGCAAACUACUUGGUAUAUCUGGUAAUGAGAUGUUAUAGUUCAUAAUUGAUAAGCAUUCGCUGAAUGAAUGAAUGAAUGAAUGAAUGAGUAGGCAAACUGCAAAGAUCCAAUGACUCAAGUCUGUGACAUUUAUUACCUAAUCCAGAAACCUAACCUUUUAGUAAAUCCAUGUUUUUAAGCCAUUAUCAUAGAUAAUCCAUUCUUAAAGACAGAAAGGAAGCCACCCCAUAAACUCAAAUUCAAAUGAGCUCAGUAGAUGUUUUACUCCUUAAACCUUUUUUCCCCAGAAAAUACAAUGUGUCACAAUCCUGAUAAGCUAUGUAUCUUAGAAAUAAAAUAACUGCAUAUUCACUACAAAUCACUUUAAUUUCCCACACAGAAUGGUAAGUUUGCUUUCAAACAAAUUACAGCUACACGUCAUUAUGG
rnacentral:sRNA from 1 species